rnacentral:rRNA from 1 species
AGUGAACGCUGGCGGUAGGCCUAACACAUGCAAGUCGAACGGCAGCACGGUAAGAGCUUGCUCUUACGGGUGGCGAGUGGCGGACGGGUGAGGAAUACAUCGGAAUCUACUUUUUCGUGGGGGAUAACGUAGGGAAACUUACGCUAAUACCGCAUACGACCUACGGGUGAAAGCAGGGGAUCUUCGGACCUUGCGCGAUUGAAUGAGCCGAUGUCGGAUUAGCUAGUUGGCGGGGUAAAGGCCCACCAAGGCGACGAUCCGUAGCUGGUCUGAGAGCGAGAUCAGCCACACUGGAAGUGAGACACGGCCCAGACUCCUACGGGGGGCAGCAGUGGGGAAUAUUGGACAAGGGGGGCGAGCCGGAUCCAGCCAUACCGCGUGGGUGAAGAAGGCGUUCGGGUUGUAAAGUCAUUUUGUUGGGAGAGAAAAGCAGCAGGUUAAUACCCCGCUGUUCUGACGGUACCCAAAGAAUAAGCACCGGCUAACUUCGUG